AUUGAACGCUGGCGGCAUGCCUUACACAUGCAAGUCGAACGGCAGCACGGAGCUUGCUCUGGUGGCGAGUGGCGAACGGGUGAGUAAUAUAUCGGAACGUACCCUGGAGUGGGGGAUAACGUAGCGAAAGUUACGCUAAUACCGCAUACGAUCCAAGGAUGAAAGUGGGGGCUCGCAAGACCUCAUGCUCCUGGAGCGGCCGAUAUCUGAUUAGCUAGUUGGUGGGGUAAAGGCCUACCAAGGCAUCGAUCAGUAGCUGGUCUGAGAGGACGACCAGCCACACUGGAACUGAGACACGGUCCAGACUCCUACGGGAGGCAGCAGUGGGGAAUUUUGGACAAUGGGGGCAACCCUGAUCCAGCAAUGCCGCGUGAGUGAAGAAGGCCUUCGGGUUGUAAAGCUCUUUUGUCAGGGAAGAAAAGGCUGCAGCUAAUAUCUGCGGCUCAUGACGGUACCUGAAGAAUAAGCACCGGCUAACUACGUGCCAGCAGCCGCCGUAAGAC
rnacentral:rRNA from 1 species